UCUCUUCUUUAUUUGUAUUUACACAUUACCACGUUUACACGUUUGUCAAAUAGUUGUUUCUGUGUACAUUAAUAUUGUAUUAAUCAUUUGUGUAUUUUUAUUGAAUCGAACUUAUGCAAAUACAACUGGUAUAUAUACAUUAUUGUUAAACCGUUUAAAAGUAUCAAACAAAUAAUAAUUCGAUGAACACUACUGAAAAAAUAAAAAUAAGUAUAUUGAAAAGGUUUGAUAGGUAUUUAAAUUACAAGGUGAUUAAGUAAAAAUUCUGACUGACGCUCAGAUAAAUCACUCCUAACAA